rnacentral:rRNA from 1 species
GUCUAUGGCCAUACCACCCUGAACACCCCCAAACUCAUCUUAUCUCAGAAGCUAAGCAUGGUCUGGCCUGGUUAGUACUUGGAUGGGAGAAACAAAAGAUAGCAAGAUA